rnacentral:rRNA from 1 species
UGGGGAAUUUUCCGCAAUGGGGGAAAGCCUGACGGAGCAAUACCGCGUGAGGGAGGAAUGCCUUUGGGUUGUAAACCUCUUUUCUCAGGGAAGAAGAACUGACGGUACCUGAGGAAUAAGUAUCGGCUAACUCCGUGCCAGCAGCCGCGGUAAUACGGAGGAUGCAAGCGUUAUCCGGAAUCAUUGGGCGUAAAGCAUCCGCAGGUGGUUUCCAAAGUCUGCUGUUAAAGACUGGAGCUCAACUCCGGAACGGCGGUGGAAACUUGGAAACUAGAGUUCGGUAGGGGUAGCAGGAAUUCCCAGUGUAGCGGUGAAAUGCGUAGAUAUUGGGAAGAACAACGGUGGCGAAGGCGUGCUACUGGACCGUAACUGACACUCAGGGACGAAAGCUAGGGGAGCGGAAGGGAUUAGAUACCCCUGUAGUCCUAGCUGUAAACGAUGGAAACUAGGUGUGGCUUGA